UAGACUAUACUUUCAGGGAUCAUUUCUAUAGUUCGUUACUAGAAAUAGCAAGACAUUAUGCUUUCUCUUAUUUUAAA
rnacentral:snoRNA from 1 species